rnacentral:rRNA from 1 species
GAUGAACGCUGGCGGCGUGCCUAAUACAUGCAAGUCGAGCGAACAGACGAGGAGCUUGCUCCUCUGACGUUAGCGGCGGACGGGUGAGUAACACGUGGAUAACCUACCUAUAAGACUGGGAUAACUUCGGGAAACCGGAGCUAAUACCGGAUAAUAUAUUGAACCGCAUGGUUCAAUAGUGAAAGACGGUUUUGCUGUCACUUAUAGAUGGAUCCGCGCCGCAUUAGCUAGUUGGUAAGGUAACGGCUUACCAAGGCAACGAUGCGUAGCCGACCUGAGAGGGUGAUCGGCCACACUGGAACUGAGACACGGUCCAGACUCCUGCGGGAGGCAGCAGUAGGGAAUCUUCCGCAAUGGGCGAAAGCCUGACGGAGCAACGCCGCGUGAGUGAUGAAGGUCUUCGGAUCGUAAAACUCUGUUAUUAGGGAAGAACAAAUGUGUAAGUAACUAUGCACGUCUUGACGGUACCUAAUCAGAAAGCCGCGGCUAACUACGUG